UACGAAGGGAGCUAGCGUUGUUCGGAAUCACUGGGCGUAAAGCGCACGUAGGCGGAUUUGUCAGUCAGAGGUGAAAGCCCGGGGCUCAACUCCGGAACUGCCUUUAAGACUGCAUCGCUUGAAUCCGGGAGAGGUGAGUGGAAUUCCGAGUGUAGAGGUGAAAUUCGUAGAUAUUCGGAAGAACACCAGUGGCGAAGGCGGCUCACUGGACCGGUAUUGACGCUGAGGUGCGAAAGCGUGGGGAGCAAACAGG
rnacentral:rRNA from 1 species